rnacentral:rRNA from 1 species
CCCUGCCCUUUGUACACACCGCCCGUCGCUCCUACCGAUUGGAUGGUCCGGUGAGAACGUCGGAUCACGCGUCUUUUUUUUCCUCAGGGAAAACGAGAGAUGCGAGAGAAGUUGUUCAAACCUUACCA